GGCCCCGUAGUUCAGUGGAUAGAAUAGAAGUUUCCUAAACUUUAGACACAAGUUCGAUUCUUGUCGGGGCUA
rnacentral:tRNA from 1 species